ACGGAAUUCUACACCACAUCCCUUUCUCUCUCGAUCGUGAAAGCAAUCGCUGAAAUUAUUGGGUACUAGUAAGAGUGCUUGUGUCACCUACACAUUCCAUUGGGUGGUGUACUAAAUAAAAUAAUUUUCUGCAAAUUUUCUGGCAAAUUCCAUUUGGUAGUGAGUAAUUAUGGGUGAGCAGGUCAGGUCAUCUUGAAGCCGUCUCAAUGCUGCUCCUCUUUGUGGUUGAAGCUGUCUGCGCUGAAGCUCAAUUGUUUUCCGGCCCCAUGUAUGCAUUAUUUGGAAGCACAUUCAAUCGCCGCAACGAUCACAAACCCCAUGCCUUCCUUAAUGGUGGUAGGUUCUGAAGACAUCAAAAGAGGCAAGAUCAAGUCAAUGAUGUCCUUCUUGUGGCUGAAAUUACUUUGAUCCUGCUGUCUCUCUGGUGUGGUGUCCGCGCAGUUCCAGUCGAGCCAAACAGAACCAUUAUAUUUAGCCAAACAGAACCAUUACAAAUAUUGUCAGAAAGUAUUUGGAGUCAGCUUCUAUUGCUACUCCAGUAUAUAUCCUUCUUUCUCUG